rnacentral:rRNA from 1 species
AUGGCAUAGUUCUUCCGCAUGGUAGAACUAUUAAAGGAUUUCGGUCAUCGAUGGGGAUGCGUUCCAUUAGGUUGUUGGCGGGGUAACGGCCCACCAAGCCUUCGAUGGAUAGGGGUUCUGAGAGGAAGGUCCCCCACAUUGGAACUGAGACACGGUCCAAACUCCUACGGGAGGCAGCAUG